rnacentral:rRNA from 1 species
ACGUAGGAGGCAAGCGUUAUCCGGAGUUACUGGGCGUAAAGGGCGUGCAGGCGGUUGGCUAAGAUCCUUGUGAAAGCUCCCCUGCUUCCCCUUUCUCUUCCCCUGAAGACUGGUCAGCUAGAGGACGGUAGAGGGGUGUGGAAUUCCGGGUGUAGUGGUGAAAUGCGUAGAGAUCCGGAGGAACACCAGAGGCGAAGGCGACACCCUGGGCCGUACCUGACGCUAAGACGCGACAGCACGGGGAGCGAACGG